rnacentral:misc_RNA from 1 species
GAUGAAGAACGCAGCGAAAUGCGAUAAGUAGUGUGAAUUGCAGAAUUCAGUGAAUCAUCGAAUCUUUGAACGCACAUUGCGCCCUUUGGUAUUCCUUAGGGCAUGCCUGUUCGAGCGUCAUUUGAAACCUCAAGCUCAGCUUGGUGUUGGGUGUCUGUCCCCGCCUCACCGCGGGGACUCGCCUCAAAAUCAUUGGCGGCCGGUACGUUGGCUUCGAGCGCAGCAGAAACGCGAACUCGAGGCCCGGCGGAUCGGCGACCAGAAGUCACUUCUUCACAGUUUGACCUCGGAUCAGGUAGGGAUACCCGCUGAACUUAAGCAUAUCAAUAAGCGGAAGA